GGGAUUCUCAAACUUCCUCCCACCUCACAUCCUUUUAAGGCAAGUGAGUGUGGGAACUCUGGUUCAGGGAAGUUAAAUCACUUGCCUAAGGUCAUGCAGAUCAUUAAUGCCAUAGCCAAGACCUGAGCACGUUCUCCUAAAGCCAGGUCAGGCCUCUUGUCACAUACUCCAUUGACUCUAGUGCCUAACCCAUGCUCAUCACAGAGCUCACAUUGGAACCAUUGUUAAACAGACUCUAAUGGAAAUGACUUCGUUCAGCUGGUGAACAUUUUGGAAGAUUCCAGAAAAACAUGAACAAGUGUUUGAGUGCUCUUAAGGGGAUUGUCUAAUAUCUUGGCUCCUGACUCAUCCUUAGAAGUCUUCCAGCCACCUUGUACCCAUUUCAAGCCCAAGGGCUCUUUAACGUAAAUGAGUUACUGAGCAGGCUCCUAAUACUACUACCUGUGUUACCUGCAGAAAAGAACAGAGAAAGAUCCAGUGCAAAAACUCAUAGGAAAUGAUCAAUUCAUGCCAAGUGAUGAGAACUAGAGAAGAGAGAUGAGAGCAUUGUUCAUACACGAUGGUCUAGGUCUCCUACCCCAAGAGAACUUGCAACAAAGCCCAAAGUACAACAGCCACGUUUAAAGAGAAGAUUCCAUUUCAGCCAGACAACAUGAUUCAUCAUAUUUAUUUAAUAUUGUUAAUUUGAAUUUUAUUAGAUCUGUACUGAUGUUUGUAUUUAAUUUCUAAUUUGUUUUGGUUUCAUAAUUCACUAAAACAAUAAGCACAAAGAGUUUCUAUCUGACUUUAUAUAUUAACAUUUUAAUAAAAGUCUUUUAUAUACUCA
rnacentral:lncRNA from 1 species